GAUGGGAGCUUGUGACACAAGCUCCAGCCUGUACCUUUUGAAAGGUAUUUCUGGGAAGAGUUCCUUAUACUCCCCAGAAGUCCCAGCGAAAGGAGCUCCCAUUGCCUACAGCAGCAACCUUGAUAAUGUGCCUUCCUGUUGGCUUUUCCUUUCCUGUCUCAGGGUCCCCAACUCCUUUCUCCUCCUUUUGUGAUCAUCUCCCAAAUAAACUAGCUCCACCCAAGUCCAUGUUUUGGGCUUCAUUUUUGGGGAAAACAAACUCAGACAGCCACUGCUGAACAAGCAAAAGGGCACCCAUACAGAUGACUGAAGCCGUCACUAAUGCUUCCUUGCUCAAACUGAAGACCCACGCCAAAACUGGUCAUCUAGCCACCUCAACCCGCGUCAUCGGGACUAGGAAGAAGCCAGCAUUGGAGGUGACACAGAAGCCUGCCAACAUCCAGGAUCAUAGGAGGGUCUGCAAAUGCUGCCUUACGUGUCUUGGGAGGUACUCCUUUUGGAUGAAGGGACUCGCCAAACAACAGAACAAACUCUCCUAGAAGACUGAGAGGACAGCAAGCAGCUGUCCACACACAGAUUGAGACAACUGUGACCAUCUGCAGUUUAAAUGGCAGUCACGUUUUCACAUCCCUCCAAGGACUAGUGCUCAAAAAUGUGCUCUUCUUCCUGUCCUGGCCUGCAUGGAGCACCCUAAUGAGGAGUCAGUGUGAUUUCAGCUGGACCUUCACUCUGGAAGGCCUUUGGGAGGGGAAGGGAUAGGAAUUGGUCUUUUCUGCCUUCCCCCACCCCCUGCCGCCCCACCCCACCUCCAAGCCUCUUUCCAUUCUGCCAUAUGUAAAUACAUACAUUCACACCCACUAGCAUGGGUAACUUUGAGCGAAGUAUAGGUUUUGUUUUGUUUAGAGAGCCCAUUUUAAACAAACAGAUGAAGUGCACAUAAUAUUUUUGUUACUCAAAAUCUGGACAACUUAGCAUUAACAUUGAAUCACUGAAAAAGCUCCAAGUAAAACUGUAUAAUGUAAUACACUCUGCCAAUGCUUACAUGUUUUUUUCUUAUAAAAUCACAAAAGUUAUGCUUAAAAUAAAUAAAUAAAAACCAGUCUCUA